rnacentral:rRNA from 1 species
UACGUAGGGGGCAAGCGUUGUCCGGAAUCAUUGGGCGUAAAGAGCGUGUAGGCGGUCCGGUAAGUCGGCUGUGAAAGUCCAGGGCUCAACCCGGGAACUGCGUCCGAUACUGGGAGGCUUGAAUCCGGGAGAGGGAUGCGGAAUUCCAGGUGUAGCGGUGAAAUGCGUAGAUAUCUGGAGGAACACCGGUGGCGAAGGCGGCAUCCUGGACCGGCAUGACGCUGA